GUGACUGAUUACUUUAAGCUUUCUUAAUUGAUUGACUGUGGGAUUUCUGUGAAGGAGUUGUUCUGGCACAGAGUCCACACAAUUGUUUCAAUUCUGGGAAUAACUUGCAAGGGCGGAGAAUUUACCAUGAAGAUCUUGGUGACCUGACAAAUCCUAAUAGCAGAGACUUAAAGUGGGCUGGAAGGACUGCUGUAUAGAGGUCCUUACAACUUCCUAAAGUGGGCUGAUCUUAAGCAGGUCAUCGGAAAAGAUGCCAUUGUCCUAGCUACAAAAAUU
rnacentral:lncRNA from 1 species